rnacentral:rRNA from 1 species
CCUACGGGGGGCAGCAGUGGGGAAUAUUGGACAAUGGGCGAAAGCCUGAUCCAGCCAUGUCGCGUGUGUGAAGAAGGCCUUCGGGUUGUAAAGCACUUUCAGUGGGGAAGAAAGCCUUGGGGCUAAUACCCUCGAGGAAGGACAUCACCCACAGAAGAAGCACCGGCUAACUCCGUGCCAGCAGCCGCGGUAAUACGGAGGGUGCGAGCGUUAAUCGGAAUUACUGGGCGUAAAGCGCGCGUAGGCGGUCUGAUAAGCCGGUUGUGAAAGCCCCGGGCUCAACCUGGGAACGGCAUCCGGAACUGUCAGGCUAGAGUGCAGGAGAGGAAGGUAGAAUUCCCGGUGUAGCAGUGAAAUGCGUAGAGAUCGGGAGGAAUACCAGUGGCGAAGGCGGCCUUCUGGACUGACACUGACGCUGAGGUGCGAAAGCGUGGGUAGCAAACAGGAUUAGAUCCCCUGGUAGUC